GAUGAACGCUGGCGGCGUGCCUAAUACAUGCAAGUCGAGCGAACGGACGAGAAGCUUGCUUCUCUGAUGUUAGCGGCGGACGGGUGAGUAACACGUGGAUAACCUACCUAUAAGACUGGGAUAACUUCGGGAAACCGGAGCUAAUACCGGAUAAUAUUUUGAACCGCAUGGUUCAAAAGUGAAAGACGGUCUUGCUGUCACUUAUAGAUGGAUCCGCGCUGCAUUAGCUAGUUGGUAAGGUAACGGCUUACCAAGGCAACGAUGCAUAGCCGACCUGAGAGAGUGAUCGGCCACACUGGAACUGAGACACGGUCCAGACUCCUACGGGAGGCAGCAGUAGGGAAUCUUCCGCAAUGGGCGAAAGCCUGACGGAGCAAGGCCGCGUGAGUGAUGAAGGUCUUCGGAGCGUAAAACUCUGUUAUUAGGGAAGAACAGAUGUGUAAGUAGCUGUGCACAUCUUGACGGUACCUAAUCAGAAAGCCACGGCUAACUACGUG
rnacentral:rRNA from 1 species